GCUGGCGGCGUGCCUAAUACAUGCAAGUCGAACGAGGUGCUUUUGUAGCAAUACGAGAGUAUCCUAGUGGCGAACGGGUGAGUAACGCGUUGGUGACCUGCCCUAAAGUGCGGGAUAACAGUCCGAAAGGAUUGCUAAUACCGCAUGUGGUCAUUGGAUUUAGAAACCGAUGAUUAAAGGAGUAAUCCGCUUUAGGAGGGACCUGCGUCCCAUCAGCUAGUUGGUGAGGUAAUGGCCCACCAAGGCGACGACGGGUAGGGGACCUGAGAGGGUGACCCCCCACAAUGGAACUGAAACACGGUCCAUACACCUACGGGUGGCAGCAGUAGGGAAUAUUGGGCAAUGGGCGAAAGCCUGACCCAGCAACGCCGCGUGUGCGAUGAAGGCCUUCGGGUCGUAAAGCACUUUUCUGGGAGAUGAGAAAGGACAGUAUCCCAGGAAUAAGUCUCGGCUAACUACGUGCCAGCAGCCGCGGUAAAACGUAGGAGGCAAGCGUUAUCCGGAUUCACUGGGCGUAAAGCGCGUGCAGGCGGUGCGGUAAGUUGGGCGUGAAAUCUCCCGGCUCAACUGGGAGAGGUCGUCCAAUACUACCGUACUUGAGAGCAGAA
rnacentral:rRNA from 1 species